rnacentral:tRNA from 1 species
UCCUCGGUGGUCCAGUGGUUAAGACUCUGUGCUCCCAUUGCAGGGGGCCUGGGUUUGAUCCCUGGUCAGGGAG